rnacentral:rRNA from 1 species
UUAAAUUGAAGAGUUUGAUCAUGGCUCAGAUUGAACGCUGGCGGCAGGCCUAACACAUGCAAGUCGAACGGUAGCAGGAAGAAGCUUGCUUCUUCGCUGACGAGUGGCGGACGGGUGAGUAAU